rnacentral:rRNA from 1 species
CAGUAGCCGCGGUAAUACAGAGGGUGCGAGCGUUAAUCGGAUUUACUGGGCGUAAAGCGUGCGUAGGCGGCUUUUUAAGUCGGAUGUGAAAUCCCUGAGCUUAACUUAGGAAUUGCAUUCGAUACUGGGAAGCUAGAGUAUGGGAGAGGAUGGUAGAAUUCCAGGUGUAGCGGUGAAACGCGUAGAGAUCUGGAGGAAUACCGAUGGCGAAGGCAGCCAUCUGGCCUAACACUGACGCUGAGGUACGAAAGCAUGGGGAGCAAACAGGAUUAGAUACCCCCGUAGUCCCUGUCUCUUAUAC